CUCAUCUACAAGCAUUCAGCAGGAGGAAUUCUUAAACCAGAGCAACCAGCCAAUCCUCGCCUGUUUAUUAUGUGCCUUCUGGUGAGGGUGUCGAUUCCCGCAAAUUUGACUCACCUGGAGUGAACUUUAAUUCCUCAGCUCUGGAAAUAUCUGACUGCUUUCCCUGCCUGUUUGUCUGCUCUCCAGCCUGCUACUGCACCCUGGAUACUCUGGCUGCUGAACUGCCUCUGGAUACUCCUACAGACUUCCCCUCCUCAGUGCGUUCUGCACCCAGACCUGCAAACCCUUCCUCGUUCGUCGCUGCAACCCCCCGUAAUUCUGUCCCUGGAGCCCCCUUUCCAAUACCAGUUGCCAUCUUGUCCCCGCAACUAUACCUAGCCCAGGUCCCCUCUCCCUUGUAACUUUCAGGUUUGAAUAAAAACUCUUUUCCACUGUGUAGUGUGUCUGCAUUUGAGUCUACUCCUUAAGCAAACUGCUUGGUUUAUGACACUGAUAUCAUUGAGGCAUUUUUAAACAUUUUGUUUGGACUUCUUGUUUUUAAUUCAGUUAGUUUCCAGAGUAGGUUUGCUCAUCUCAGUUCAGUUAUUAUUGCUGUAGUUUUUGUUUAGUUUUUUAAUAUUAAUGUACGGAGGGCAUAUGAGGAGGCAGGAUUUAGGA